UGUAAAACAUUUCUCCCUAUCGAAUAAUGAUAAAAAUAAGAAAAUCAAGAUAUCAAAAUCAGAAUUUUAUCAAGGUUCUCCGCAUAAAGAGCAACUUUAUUAUCAUGAUUUGAAUGCAAUGCGAAUCUUUGAUAUUAAAAUUAAUCAAACACAUCAAGAAACAAAUAAUCGAAGAAAACCAAACUACAACAAAAAAAGAAAAA